AACCAGCCGUGGAGGCCACACGAGUGAGAAUGCAGGCAUGAGUAGCGAAAGACGGGUGAGAAACCCGUCCUCCGAAAGACCAAGGGUUCCAGGGCCAGGUUAAUCCGCCCUGGGUAAGUCGGGACCUAAGGCGAGGCCGACAGGCGUAGUCGAUGGACAACGGGUUGAUAUUCCCGUACCGGCGAAGAACCGCCCAAGCUAAUCCAGUGGUGCUAAGAGUCCUAACCCGGCUGAGUGGAUCCCUUCGGGGUGAUGCCGGCCGGUCUAACGCUCGACCCCAUGCUGGUGCGGUUAACGUAUUAACAGGUGUGACGCAGGAAGGUAGCUGAGCCAGGCGAUGGUAUCCGUAAGGUGAACCUGGUGUAAGGAUGUAGGGCUGACGAUAGGCAAAUCCGUCGUCAAUGCGCCUGAGAUCCGAUGCGUACCCCGAUUGGGGGAAAUCAGUGAUCCUAUGCUGCCGAGAAAAGCAUCGACGUGAGGUUCAAGCCGCCCGUACCCCAAACCGACUCAGGUGGUCAGGUAGAGAAUACCAAGGAGAUCGAGAGAAUCGUGGUUAAGGAACUCGGCAAAAUGCCCCCGUAACUUCGGGAGAAGGGGGGCCGGAACCGUGAUGGGAUUUACUCCCGGAGCGGGAAAGGCCGCAGAGACCAGUGGGAAGCGACUGUUUACUAAAAACACAGGUCCGUGCCAAGUCGCAAGACGAUGUAUACGGACUGACGCCUGCCCGGUGCUGGAAGGUUAAGAGGAACGGUUAGCGCAAGCGAAGCUGAGAAUUUAAGCCCCAGUAAACGGCGGUGGUAACUAUAACCAUCCUAAGGUAGCGAAAUUCCUUGUCGGGUAAGUUCCGACCUGCACGAAUGGCGUAACGACUUCCCAGCUGUCUCAACCGCGAACUCGGCGAAAUUGCACUACGAGUAAAGAUGCUCGUUACGCGCAGCAGGACGGAAAGACCCCGUGACCUUUACUACAGCUUGGUAUUGGUGUUCGGAGUGGCUUGUGUAGGAUAGGUGGGAGACUGUGAAGCUUGGACGCUAGUUCAGGUGGAGUCAUUGUUGAAAUACCACUCUGGUCACUUUGGAUAUCUAACUACGAACCGUGAUCCGGUUCUGGGACAGUGCCUGGUGGGUAGUUUAACUGGGGCGGUUGCCUCCCAAAAAGUAACGGAGGCGCCCAAAGGUUCCCUCAACCUGGUUGGCAAUCAGGUGUCGAGUGUAAGUGCACAAGGGAGCUUGACUGUGAGACUGACAAGUCGAGCAGGGACGAAAGUCGGGACUAGUGAUCCGGCAGUGGCUUGUGGAAGCGCUGUCGCUCAACGGAUAAAAGGUACCUCGGGGAUAACAGGCUGAUCUUGCCCAAGAGUCCAUAUCGACGGCAUGGUUUGGCACCUCGAUGUCGGCUCGUCGCAUCCUGGGGCUGGAGUAGGUCCCAAGGGUUGGGCUGUUCGCCCAUUAAAGCGGUACGCGAGCUGGGUUUAGAACGUCGUGAGACAGUUCGGUCCCUAUCCGCUGCGCGCGUAGGAAAUUUGAGAAGAUCUAUCCCUAGUACGAGAGGACCGGGAUGGACGAACCUCUGGUGUGUCAGUUGUCCUGCCAAGGGCACCGCUGAUUAGCUACGUUCGGAACGGAUAACCGCUGAAAGCAUCUAAGCGGGAAGCCGGCUUCGAGAUGAGAUUUCCAUACCCUUAGGGGUGAGAGGCUCCCAGCUAGACUACUGGGUUGAUAGGCCGGAUGUGGAAGUGGGGACUAACGACCCAUGGAGCUGACCGGUACUAAUAAGCCGAUAACUUGACAACACUCCCUC
rnacentral:rRNA from 1 species